AGCAGCCGCGGUAAUUCCAGCUCCAAUAGCGUAUAUUAAAGUUGUUGCAGUUAAAAAGCUCGUAGUUGAAUUUCGGGAUUGACGUGAUGGUCGUGCCUUAAGGGGUAUGAACUGUUGCUGUUGAUUUCUCACCUUCUGGAGAAACUUGAUGUCCUUAAUUGGGUGUCUUGCGGAUCCAGGACCUUUACCUUGAAAAAAAUUAGAGUGUUUAAAGCAGGCAUUUUGCUCGAAUACAUUAGCAUGGAAUAAUAGAAUAGGACGGCAUGGUUCUAUUUUGUUGGUUUCUAGGAUCACCGUAAUGAUUAAUAGGGAUAGUUGGGGGCAUUAGUAUUCAAUUGUCAGAGGUGAAAUUCUUGGAUUUAUUGAAGACUAACUACUGCGAAAGCAUUUGCCAAGGAUGUUUUCAUUAAUCAAGAACGAAAGUUAGGGGAUCGAAGACGAUCAGAUACCGUCGUAGUCUUAAACCAUAAACUAU
rnacentral:rRNA from 1 species